AUUAGAAUUUUUUUACACAAAAUCGGCUAAAUUUCCUAUUUCCGGCUCUUGAAACCGCCCCCUAAUUCCUCCUCUCGUCAAAUCCUCCUCGCCGUGCGGCAGUUCCUCUCGCCGGCGAACCACCGAGAGCCCUUUCCCCCCGACGGCGAGUCGUCGAAUCGCCCCGCUCGGACCGGCAGCCGCCCUCCGCCGCCCGCCGGAGAAGGAGAACGGGAGCCGCGGGCCUCUGGCAGUACCGCCGAAGAACGGCAGGCAGGCGGCAAGUCGCGCGCCCCGCGCCGCGUCGAUUGGCAUUGGAUUUGCCGAUCCAUUGCUUCCGUUUGUUGAGUUCUGGAAGCGAACCGAUCCGAUGAGAUUCUUCAAGGGGAGCAAGGUGGAGGUGUUGCAGGAGGCAGAGGUGCCUUUUGGUUCUUGGAGGCCCGGUGAGAUCGUCUCGGGGAACGGGCACACCUACUUGGUGCAAUACGAUGAAAGCCCUGUUGACUCUGGCGUGGCUGUUGAAAGGGUGCCAAGAAGGUUGAUGAGACCUAGCCCACCUGCGGAUGAUCCAGUAUGCUGGGUUGUGGGUAGUAUUCUUGAGGCCUUUGAUAGCUACUCGUGGAAGGUUGCAGAGGUAGUGAGAGUGCUUGGCAAGAAGCAGUAUCUUGUCCGUCUCCUUGGGUCCUCCCUGGAGUUGAUGGCACAGGCAUCAGAUCUUCGAUUGAGGAAGCUUUGGGUAGAUGACAAAUGGAUUGUGACUCAGAAGUAUUCCGCAAAAUGCUUGGAUGGUUCAUUCAGAGGUCGAUUGAAAGAUGGAAAUUUAGGCUGCAACUUUGGAAUGGACAGCCAUAUUCAACUUGAAAACAAGAAUGCCUUUGAGGGUGCUACAUCUAGAGGCAUAAAGAGAAAAUCGUCUGCUAUGACAACACAUCCUCAAUGUAGUGAAAUCACAAAGAGAUUGCAGACGCCGCAAAGAGAUGGAAGGCACUCGAAGCUGGUUGAUAGAGGUUCCCUCCGUUUGGCUGAAAAGGUAGAUGCUGUUGAUUCCCCAUGCUUUAUGCUGGGUGAAAAAUACAUGCAUGCUAAUUAUAAAGGGCGUACUAUAACAGCUGAAGAUUUUAGUGACACUGAGAGUAUAUCAUCCUCUGUUGCUAGCUGUAGUCCUAACAGUAGCCCCCGUAAAUCUCAGCAUUAUAAUUUGGUCUACGAAACUGGAGAUACCUGUAGUAGAACUGAUGAUGAUGAGGCUUCUACAUCUGAAAGAGAAACAUCAGAACAUGAUAAUGAUGGAUCAAGGGAAGAAACUCAUUUGCUGGAGUUGCAUGCUUAUCGUGCAACAAUGUUAGCCUUGUAUGCUUGUGGGUCAAUUAGCUGGGAGCAAGAGGCUUUGUUGACUAACCUAAGGUUAACAUUGAACAUCUCAACUGAUGAACAUCUAGCUGAAUUGAGGAGUUUGGUUACCCAUGCUGUUACUUCCAGAUAGCUAUUGUAGUUACUUUCUUGGCGAUAUUUUCAUAUCUUCUAUCUUGAAACUAUUGUCAGUUGGGAAAUCUCAUUAUGGAUUUGAGGUGUUGGAGUACUUCAUAUGUAGUAUUACUUGUGAAAAGAGUUAGUGGGGAAAUUUUGUACUACAGUUAUGCCAAGAUUUCUGAAAUUUUGCAAGAGUCUCCAUCUGUUUAUGUUCUUCAUACUGAAAUGCCUCUUUUUAGCUUUGCAUUAACUUAUUUUGAUGUUUAGCACUGUACUGUAAUACCAAAAUAUCUUUGACUGCUUAUGACUGAAAAUUAUAAUAUUUUGAUCAAAGCAUGUGCAAGCAGCUACUAUUAUCUCAAAGGUACAAUAUAAGUCUUCUUCAGGAAGUGAAGUUGUGUACAUGGUAGUCUUUGUGGUGUCAACGGUUCUUACUCAUGUUGUGCUAUACUUGUCGCCGAAUGUCAUGAAAAUUUGUGAGAAUGGAGAGUGAAAUACUGUAUAUACUGUUGACAUUCUGUUUUCUAGUGAGUUGACUAAUUCCUAAUGCAUUUUUCUGUUAUUUAGUAGCAGCUGUUUUGAAUGGGAAGUUCCACUUUAAGAUUGUUCUUAAAUUUGGAGAAAGGAAAUCUGAUACUUCUCAUGAACUUUCCAGGGCCGAGGUUGGAGGCUUGUAAAGCAUCCUUCCAUAGGUUCAUGUCGAUGGAGGAGUCUGCCACAUGGUUUGCAGUGCGAUAAAUGUGGCAACAUUUCCAUCGAACUUCCAUUGGUACUUCAUUCAUUUUAUUUUUUUUCUUUUUAGGGUAGUGUGCCAAGAUAAUUCAAUGCAACAUUAAUGAACUGUACUUUCCAUGUGAGCUUCCAUAACGUUCACAACACUAGAACAACGAUCUAAGGAGCACUCAGUUUGAUUACUUAUAAAUACAAGUAUAGUAACACAGAACCUGUGUGGCUGCUAGUAUCUACUUACCUCAAACUUGGACCUGAAGAUUUAUUAUGAUCUUUUUGUUCCAAACUAAGGUCAAGCAGGAUCAGAAUUGCGGUUCCAAAUUAAUGAUGGUUGCUGGAUGGAAAAGGUCAAUUUGGAUUGGUUUUAUGAUCCAAAGACAAAAGGGUAAUCUGUCUGUUGGUGAUUUUUGAGAGAAUGAGCAUGUUCCCUCUUUGGUAAGUGCUACCGGAACUCUUUUAUUUUAACACCUUUUUGAGGACGCAAUACUACUCCUUUCAGGUAAUUACACAACCAACAGUCUUGCAAUUUUUAUGCACAUUAUGGUAAACAGUGCUCAAAUUUUCAGUAAGUUAAAUUGCAAUUGAUACAUACUCUUCAGCAAAAGUAGCAGUUAUUGAUGUCAGCAGUGUUUUUGGUCGCUUGAAUAAAGUUCACAGAUUCAUUCUGUUGAAGCUAAGAAGUCUUUAUUUCAAGACAUGUUACAGUAUGCAGAUUGCCAGAUUGUUUAAGUUAAAAGUCAUAGAAAUGGUAAAAUGUGGACUAGGGCUAGAACAUGUUACUUCAACUUCGACCAACAGACUUGGGCUAUACUACCAUUAGGGGGUAUUCACUUAAGAAAUCAUGCAUCAGGAUAAGAUAUCGUUCCAUGAAUGGAUCAUCAUUUAGUUGAAGCCUUUGCCAGAUAAUGGAAUAGUAAUAUCCCAUAUAUGCUUGAAAUAUUUGGAGAUCCACAUUGAAGAUCUUUCUUAGCAACCACCUUCACAAUAACUUUGCAUUACACAAUAUGCUUGUUCUGUGUGAGUAACAGGUUUUGUGUUGAACACUAGGCGGUUUUUAAAUACUAUUUAUGGCAUAAAAUUGUCUUGUACUCCAUGCACGAAAUGUUGUAUUGGACUCUUGAAAUGCAUUGCAGGGCACAACUCAAUACUUAUAACUAAAAAUUGAUGCAUACUCUCUCUUUUAGAUCAUUGCUUCUGCGAUCUCCUAAGGGUCAAUUGCAGACAGAUGCUAUGUAAGGAUACGGUAUAAUGGUGUAGUGCCAAUUUUUUAACAAGAUUUUAACCGAUUAUCACAUCGUUAUUGCAAAGGACAAUCCUGAACAAUUUUCUGCUUUGAUGAGCUUUUCAAUGCGCAAUGUGUUUUUUUUUCUCGAACACGCAGAUCUGCGUAUCAUUGCAAUAAUAGAAGAAGAAAGAGGUGUAAGAAGAAAGAGGAGAUCUGCGUAUCACUGCAAUCUUUCUUCUCGAACAUGUAGAAGAAAGAGGUUGGCCAUAGUUUGGAGGCCAACCAAGACAAGUGCAUAUGGCAGCAGCAGUUUGACUAUUACAAGGGGUGUAAGAAGAAAGAGGUUUGCCUUUUCACUAUCUGAUUCCUCUGCAAUUGUUUGUGAUGAUACUCGAUAGACGACUUCGAUUGUUUCACAUACUUUAUCUACUGCAUAUGCAUAUGAUUUGCCAAAAGAUUGGUAUUGUAGGAAUCUGCGCUUCAAUGGGGAACUGAUUUUGCAGUGAAUCUUGGUGCUGCAAAAUGCAUUUUUUCUCUUUACAUAUAUGAUUUACACUAAGGACAAAUGCGUGGUAAGGUAGUAACUUUGUCAUCCACAUACAGAACUGGACACUGAGGUAGCACAAAAUUUGUGCUUCAAAACUCUUUGUACGAUGCAUCUGUUAUCGGCAGCUUGCAUGAACUCUCCUAACUUGUUAAUCACAAAAUCACAUUGAACUGCAGCCAGGUCAAUGAAUAGCCUGGUGCAGUUUUGUUUGCUUUGGUUGCUCACUAUUAAAUUCUUGUAGUUCCAGUCAACUUUCCCUCAAACUCAUUAUUAUUUGACUAGUUUGUUGAUGAUUUCUUGGUUGGUACAAUGACAUUGGAAAGAAAAGUUAUUUAUGUUGGAUCUUGAUUUGGCCAUGCUUGAACUAAACAGUGCCUGAAUUUUUUAUCUCUUGUAAAUUGUAUUUGCAGGGUAUUCAGCUCUUGCCACCGCCCGAGUCCAAUCAAUGAUGACUACUGAUGUUGUUCCAUAUACAACUCAGAGUCUGAAGAUUAAGGUUUAGUUUAAAAUUUGAAACACACUUGGGCAUAUGAUCUCUCACCUUGUGUACUACUCCAUAUCCACUUAUCAAACCUGGAGAUACGGGAUUAUAAUAUUUCCCAGCAUUUGCAGGCUGCAGUACAAUCUUGCUCUUGUUCAGUGUUACAAAACCUGGAGAUAUGGUAUUUUUAGGACCUUGCUCCAGAUUAAAAGCAACCAUAACAUGCUUGCUCAGAGAACUUUUAGGUUCUGUAUGUGGUGCUCAUCCUGCCUGCUACAUUUAUGUUCAAAUGUGCUGUCCAUAUGGAGCAUAUGCUGGUUCAUUUAGUAAAGUUGACUCUCAUUUCUUAACAGUUGGAUGAUCUCAGGUUUCGUUUGGGAUUCGCAGGUACUUGAUAUCGCCAAAAAGGUAAAGAGCAUUGUGGAUUUAUCAGGUAGUAUCAGAAGAUUACUGUGACAUGGCUCUGAGCUUGUACUUGUUUUAGCUGAUUGGUCUCAUGAUGCAUGCGGACGACACAUUAGCUGGCAGACGACGCAUGCAAAUGCAAAGCUCUCGGGAGGAACGGGAGGCCCGUGAAAGACUUGCGGCGGCAUGCCGGCUGCCGCAUGUGCCCGCGGCUACGCUGUUCUCUCGUCGGGAAAAUCCAUGUACCUUGUUGCAUUUGAACCUCGUUAUUACCCUAUGAAAUUCAGAUGUGUAUGUGUUUGACAAGUUUGUAGCGUUUCUGUCUUCAUAUAUACAGUUUUUGUUCUUUGUC